rnacentral:rRNA from 1 species
AUUGAACGCUUGCGGCAGGCCUAACACAUGCAAGUCGAACGAGUGGCGGACGGGUGCGUAAUGUCUGGGAAACUGCCCGAUGGAGGGGGAUAACUACUGGAAACGGUAGCUAAUACCGCAUACCAUCGGAUGUUCCCCGAUGGGAUUAGCUAGUAGGUGGGGUAACGGCUCACCUAGGCGACGCUCCCUAGCUGGUCUUAGAGGAUGACCAGCCACACUGGAACUGAGAAACGGUCCAGACUCCUACGGGAGGCAGCAGUGGGGAAUAUUGCACAAUGGGCGCAAGCCUGAUGCAGCCAUGGCGCGGGUAUGAAGAAGGCCUUCGGGUUGUAAAGUACGUUCAGCGAGGAGGCGUUACUCGCAGAAGAAGCACCGGCUAACUCCGUGCCAGCAGCCGCGGUAAUUC